rnacentral:rRNA from 1 species
CAAUAGCGUAUAUUAAAGUUGUUGCGGUUAAAAAGCUCGUAGUUGGAUUUCUGCCGAGGACGACCGGUCCGCCCUCUGGGUGAGCAUCUGGCUCGGCCUGGGCAUCUUCUUGGAGAACGUAUCUGCACUUGACUGUGUGGCGCGGUAUUCAGGACUUUUACUUUGAGGAAAUUAGAGUGUUUCAAGCAGGCACACGCCUUGAAUACAUUAGCAUGGAAUAAUAAGAUAGGACCUCGGUUCUAUUUUGUUGGUUUCUAGAUCUGAGGUAAUGAUUAAUAGGGAUAGUUGGGGGCAUUCGUAUUUAACUGUCAGAGGUGAAAUUCUUGGAUUUGUUAAAGACGGACUGCUGCGAAAGCAUUUGCCAAGGAUGUUUUCAUUGA